AAUGCACUUUGUGAGCACUCUAAAUGUCAAUUCGAACUUAAAAUUUGUGUUUUUAAUGUUUUUCAUAUUUUCAACGCUCAUAUUUGAAUGUACUUUUGCCUCACCCUAAGUCGAGUCCCUUCCUCCUAAAGAGAAAAUGACUCCCUAAUUUCAGUUGCUUCAUCAAUUGUUCUAAAAUCUCUCACCCCCUACCCCCUUCAUCCUUUCUUAAUUACGUAACAACAUCCCACCCAAUUCCGGCUCUUUCACUACAAAAAAAAAAAGAACAUCGUCACUUAUCUAAUUUUGCUGAACUCUGAUACAACAUGGGUAGCGCUGUCUGGAAUAGUAGAAGAACUGAAGAAGACUCUCGAGCUCAGUGAAGAGGUCGCCGGAGAAGAAGAUGCAUGUUGAAGGGAGUGUUAACGAUCGAACAGGGAAACGUAACCUGUACCAGAAAGAGAGAAUUAGGUCAGCGACAAGUGAGGGAGAGCCGGGCCACGCGAGCGCCAGGCUGGACCGCCAGCUAUGACAUGAGCUGGUAAUUUAGUAAAGGGUUAAAUUGCAGACAAAACCUUAAGUUUAGUUUAUUUGCGUUUUAUUUUCAGUUUUAUUUCGUUAAUUUCUAUUCUGCACCUACCCUAUGUAAUUUCUUCUAUAAAGGGCUCCGAUUGUAGUUUUUGAUUUAUCGAAAUAAAAACUAAAAUUUCCC
rnacentral:lncRNA from 1 species